rnacentral:rRNA from 1 species
UACGGAGGAUCCGAGCGUUAUCCGGAUUUAUUGGGUUUAAAGGGUGCGCAGGCGGCCUGAUAAGUCAGCGGUAAAAUCGUGGGGCUCAACCCCAUCCUGCCGUUGAUACUGCCGGGCUUGAUCGCGGUCGAGGUAGGCGGAAUUCGUCGUGUAGCGGUGAAAUGCAUAGAUAUGACGAAGAACACCGAUUGCGUAGGCAGCCUACCAGGCCGCAAAUGACGCUCAUGCACGAAAGUGCGGGGAUCGAACA